GAUGAACGCUGGCGGCGUGCCUAAUACAUGCCAGUCGAGCGAACGGACGAGAAGCUUGCUUCUCUGAUGUUUGCGGCGGACGGGUGUGUAACACGUGGAUAACCUACCUAUAAGACUGGGAUAACUUCGGGAAACCGGAGCUAAUACCAGAUAAUAUUUUGAACCGCAUGGUUCAAAAGUGAAAGACGGUCUUGCUGUCACUUAUAGAUCGAUCCGCGCUUCAUUAGCUAGUUGGUAAGGUAACGGCUUACCAAGGCAACGAUGCAUAGCCGACCUGAGAGGGUGAUCGGCAACACUGGAACUGGAACACGGUCCAGACUCCUACGGGAGGCAGCAGUAGGGAAUCUUCCGCAAUGGGCGAAAGCCUGACGGAGCAACGCCGCGUGAGUGAUGAAGGUCUUCGGAUCGUAAAACUCUGUUAUUAGGGAAGAACAUAUGUGUAAGUAACUGUGCACAUCUUGACGGUACCUAAUCAGAAAGCCACGGCUAACUACGUG
rnacentral:rRNA from 1 species